rnacentral:rRNA from 1 species
CUACAAUGGUUGGUACAACGAGUUGCGAGUCGGUGACGGCGAGCUAAUCUCUUAAAGCCAAUCUCAGUUCGGAUUGUAGGCUGCAACUCGCCUACAUGAAGUCGGAAUCGCUAGUAAUCGCGGAUCAGCACGCCGCGGUCGAAUACGUUCCGGGCCUU